UCUCCCUAUGCUAUCACACGUUGGGCCUCUAAACAAUGUAAAUGGCCAAAUGAAUAUGCUUCUUGGAGACAAGAGACCUUAGCUUUGGUUCUGGAUCCAGCCAGUGAGGGGCCUCGAUGGGUCUGACGCAACAACUAAAACAGAGGUCUGCUCCAAACCCUAGUCUGGACCUUUAUGGUGUCCUGUGGCCAGAAAUUUGUUUGCAGAGAAAGAAAAACUGGAAAUCUGGAGUCAUGCUGUUUGGAUGGUGCAUUAUAUUCAGCAUCAUUUAGUGAGUGUCUACUGUGUGCCCAGCUGCAUGAAUUGCAGUCAAGGCCCCCACGGGGCUUUCAGCUGAGUGGCAGAGCCAGAGAGGAAAAUGUCACUGUCAUGUGGCGGGUUAUAAAUAACAAUUCCACAGGAUCUUCAUUGAGCCCUUUUGAAAAAUUUUACCAGCAAUAAUGUCCCGAACAUGCCAAACCCAGGGCUGUGUUAUCCUACACAAGAGGGAUUUUCUUUGUGAAAGGCAAAGAAGAAAAGAUUUAUCCAGUCCUGGGCUAUGAAGAGGAACAGAAUACCCCUGGAGGUUGGUUGCAGAAAUGAAUCUUAAGUGUUUAACACUUCUCUUCAAGAAGGCGUUGCCUGCCAUCACAAUUCCCACCACCAAGAGAUCUGUGAUAGUUUCUCAGCCUUAUAUCUGGGUUGCAAACUCAAAAGCCUGUUGGAGCCAGAUAGAUAAUGUAAAUGAGGGGAACUAUUUAGGUUCACUCAGUUACAUGGGGGUACUGUGGAAUAGUGAGGAUUGCAGCAAAAUGGAGAGUGUGUGCCCCAUCUAACAGGGAAACCCAAUUUCCAUCAAUUAUUUCCUUGUGAGACUAUGGGCCCCGAGUUGCCACACCAUUUUACUUUUUCAAGAAAAGAUGGAAUUCUGGAUUUUUAGUAGCCAAAUUUGCUGAAUUUUAUGAUGUUAAAUUCAUUCUGAUUAAAAACAACAACAGCAAGAAAAGACUGUGAUGGGUCAACAUACACACCUCUAGAAAUCAAACACAUUUCACUUCUUGGCUUGUGUCUCUGUCAGAACUAUAGCUUAUCUUUUGGGACCCCUUCUGCUGGGGCUUCUACAUACAGAAGCUGCUUCUUUACUCACAUUCACAAGAAUUCCAAUAAUCUCAAUGAGCAUUUAGUGUGACAAGAGAGUUAGCUGGGAAGUUGAGGGUCACCAAAAAGUCCCAUCACACCAUAUGUCUCUCUUACCCCUUUCACUUACACUCUUCUUCACUUUCCCCUCUGCUCCCCCCUCCAUGAUCUCAGGAAUAACUAAUUUUUCUUUGCCUUAGCUGAAUUUGUGAAGCUCUCUUCUUUGAAGUUCGGGCACCAGCUAACAUGUGUGCCCCACAGAGAUGCUCUUAUCCCAAGAUUGCCCCGCAAGACGUUUUUCUAUCAACGAUGUUCCUUCCUCUGAAAGAAUCCUCUGACCAAAAAUACAAAAAUCAUUGUAUAUUUACAAAUGAAUGGGACGAUCAGCAAGGAAGGCAUGGUUUUAUAAAGUACCAAAAAGUGUGGUCCAUAGGUUGAAUGUCAUACAUUAUGGAAGAGAGAGGUGCCUGAGCCUGCAGGGGGUUUCUGUCUCAGAGAACACCUGAUGUUCUGCAGCCAUCCACAGUGGCCCACAGAACAAUGACUGAAACAAACUGUAGCAAGUGAAUUGCAAGUUUGUGUUUGUAGAGGGAUUGUCUAAAAGUUCUGCAGAUAUUAGAAUGGUGGACCUAGGGAGCAGGAACAGGGGGUUACAUCAGAAAGACAGACUACAAUGCUUAUGAGUAUAUGCUUGGAAUCUCAAGUCUGCCAUUUGCAGACUCUCUUUGAAGCUCAGUUUUCUCAUCUAUAAAUAGGAAAACACAAUACUGUUUCCUAUGGCUGUUGAAAGAAUUUCAUGGAAAACCACGUGUAAAGUACCUGGCCAUUGUAGACACUAAUGAACGCAAGCUUCCUUCCUUCUUAAUUCCUUCUCAUUCUUCAAGGUUCAGCAUAGGCGUCAUCCCCUUCAGGCUGUUUUCCUUGAAUUUUUCUUCAUUCUUUCCAUGUUGGGUUAGUACUCCACUCUUCUCCACAUUCCAGACUUCCUGACAUACAACCUGUGUGUGUAUCAUCCUUAUUGCAUACCUUUGAAUUACCUGCUUUUAUUUUUGGAUCUUCUUGAGUGCUAGGAACCAUCUCACAUUUACCUUUGUCUCGCUAGCUCCUAGCACGGUGCUAUGUGAGUAAUAGAAACUCAUUAAAAGCUUGCUGAACUAGGGGCUCUGCAGUGAGGAGAAAAUUAUCUCAGGUGACCAGAUAAACUUACAAUUGAGAAAAACUUUAUAAAGUAUACCAUUUCUGAAAAGGUGGUUUUUUUUUUAAAGAAGAAUCUAUAUCUGUCUCUAUAGAAGUUAUUACCCAACAUCAGUGCUUGGUCAAACUCUAGCACUUAUGGAGGACAUUAACAAAGGCAAAGCAUGGAGUUUAACCCGGUGUCAACUUGAAAGUUUGGUCAAGAUCUCAGAGAGAGAGAAUUGAGUGGGAAGGAGAAUGCUUGUUUCCCUUGUGGAAAAUGUCUUUGAGGGAUGGCAAUUAAAGACCCAGUGUACUUGAAAGUGUCUCUUCCAAUCUGAAAAUAAACUAAGCUUCCUGAGCUGCUUUUGGAAAACCAAA